AGUAACACGUGAUAACCUACCUAUAAGACUGGGAUAACGUUCGGGAAACCGGAGCUAAUACCGGAUAAUAUAUUGAACCGCAUGGUUCAAUAGUGAAAGACGGUUUUGCUGUCACUUAUAGAUGGAUCCGCGCCGCAUUAGCUAGUUGGUAAGGUAACGGCUUACCAAGGCAACGAUGCGUAGCCGACCUGAGAGGGUGAUCGGCCACACUGGAACUGAGACACGGUCCAGACUCCUACGGGAGGCAGCAGCC
rnacentral:rRNA from 1 species